CGGGGGCGGUGCCUGCCCCCCCAGCCCCUCUCCCAGCAGCCCUUGCAAACGCCUACAAUGAAAUUUGCGAAGUUUUUUCGGUUUCGGCGCCAUUUUCGAGUGGACUCGGAGGAGUUCAGGUUCCAGAUCCUUCCCUUAUUAUUUAAAACUGGAUGAGAUGAUGGUGAAAAAAUGGAACCAAGAAGCACCGUACUGUUCUUCAGUUCUGCAGUUUUGAGGAAAAACUGGAUCCUGGAAAUUUUACUGACGUUCUGAAGUACAUUCAUAUUGAAAAAGAAGUUAAAUUGUGUCCAAAGAGAAUCAUAUUUGCAGAACUGAUGCAUCAUUGCGUUCAGUCAAGCCCUAAGAAGAUGAGUUGGAGGAACAUACCUGUUAGUACUGCUCCUAACUGAUUUAUCACAUAUCUGCAUUUCUUUUUGACAUUUUCACAGUUAUGUCAAGCAAUCUGUACUGGUGCUUAGGCUAACUUGUAAUUACAUCUUAAGGUUGUAUACUGUGAAGUCAGGGACCCCACAAAAAAACCUACUUCACACUCUUCUUCUCCCUCCCUUGCCUCUUCCAAGUUUGUUGUUCCCUAUCUGCCUAGGCAGGGAAUGUUCUGAAAAAUUUCAAGACAGCUGGGAUCAUUUCUCAUUGCUGACUUCAUUCAGAUUUGAAAGGUAAAAUCUGAGCUGCAUGGACCCUAAAAACAAACAGAAAAAGAGAAUUAUUUGCUUCAAAUUAUGUCCUGAAACUGAGUCUUAGGAAUCUGGAUAAUCUAAAUCGAAAUAAUUCAGGGAAAUGGCAAACACUUGAGCACUGUAGCUAUUUCUUACACAGCUAUCACUGCUUGUAAGAUGUCCCUAGUACCAGGGGCGACUCCAGGCACCAGCAUGCCAAGUGUGUGCCUGGGACGGCAAGCCACAGGGGGCACUCUGCCGGUUGCUUCAAGGGCGGCAGGCAGGUUGCCUUCGGCGGUAUGCCUGCAGUAUGCCUGCGGAGAGUCCGCUGGUCCCGUGGCUUUGGCGGACCUCCCGCAGGUGUGCUACUGAAUCCGUGGGAUCCGGGACUUCCCGCAGGCAAGCCGCCGAAGGCAACCUGCCUGCUGUGCUUGGGGCGGCAACACCUAGAGCUGCCCCUGCCUAGCACUGCAGUGCACACACAAAAAAAGCUGUAGACUAUUCAGAUUUCCCAAUAGUCUAUUUCAGAGGUAGGCAACUUAUGGCACGGGUGCCGAAGGCGGCAUGCAAGCUGAUUUUCAGUGGCACUCAUGCUGUCUGGGUCCUGGCCACAGGUCCGGGGGGCUCUGCAUUUUAAUUUAAUUUUAAAUGAAGCUUCUUAAACGUUUUAAAAACCUUAUUUACUUUACACACAACAAUAGUUUAGUUAUAUAUUAUAGACUUAGAAAGUGACCUUCUAAAAACGUUAAAAUGUAUUACUGGCACGCAAAACCUUAAAUCAGAGUGAAUAAAUGAAGACUAGGCACAGCACUUCUGAAAGGUUGCUGACCCCUCACCUAUUUGAAAGGGCCAGAAAGUAGUGGGGGGGGGGGGGGAGAAGAAAGAGAGCAGGAGUUCUAGUUGGUCUGAAAAUGUAGCUAACUGCAACAAGUCUACUAUGUAUUUUGGGCAAAUGAAGUAGGGUUUUUUUAUUUUUUAAAAAAUUAUUGCAGUCAGAUACUCUUGUAUAACUACUUGCUCUCUUUUUUUUUUAGUUGCAGAUUUUCUGGUAGAACAGGAUCGAAGAACAUUUAAACUUUUGUGAUAAGUGAAUGUUAAAAAUGUCUUCAUUGGA